rnacentral:rRNA from 1 species
AUUGAACGCUGGCGGCAGGCCUAACACAUGCAAGUCGAGCGGAUGAAGAGAGCUUGCUCUCUGAUUUAGCGGCGGACGGGUGAGUAAUGCCUAGGAAUCUGCCUGGUAGUGGGGGAUAACGUUCCGAAAGGAACGCUAAUACCGCAUACGUCCUACGGGAGAAAGCAGGGGACCUUCGGGCCUUGCGCUAUCAGAUGAGCCUAGGUCGGAUUAGCUAGUUGGUGAGGUAAUGGCUCACCAAGGCGACGACCCGUAACUGGUCUGAGAGGAUGAUCAGUCACACUGGAACUGAGACACGGUCCAGACUCCUACGGGAGGCAGCAGUGGGGAAUAUUGGACAAUGGGCGAAAGCCUGAUCCAGCCAUGCCGCGUGUGUGAAGAAGGUCUUCGGAUUGUAAAGCACUUUAAGUUGGGAGGAAGGGCAGUAAGUUAAUACCUUGCUGUUUUGACGUUACCGACAGAAUAAGCACCGGCUAACUCCGUGCCAGCCGCCGCCGUAACAC